UGAGCCUUGAUGUGUAGGAUAGGUGGGAGGCUUUGAAGCGUGGACGCCAGUCUGCGUGGAGCCGACCUUGAAAUACCACCCUUUAAUGUUUGAUGUUCUAACGUGGACCCGUAAUCCGGGUUGCGGACAGUGUCUGGUGGGUAGUUUGACUGGGGCGGUCUCCUCCUAAAGAGUAACGGAGGAGCACGAAGGUUGGCUAAUCCUGGUCGGACAUCAGGAGGUUAGUGCAAUGGCAUAAGCCAGCUUGACUGCGAGCGUGACGGCGCGAGCAGGUGCGAAAGCAGGUCAUAGUGAUCCGGUGGUUCUGAAUGGAAGGGCCAUCGCUCAACGGAUAAAAGGUACUCCGGGGAUAACAGGCUGAUACCGCCCAAGAGUUCAUAUCGACGGCGGUGUUUGGCACCUCGAUGUCGGCUCAUCACAUCCUGGGGCUGAAGUAGGUCCCAAGGGUAUGGCUGUUCGCCAUUUAAAGUGGUACGCGAGCUGGGUUUAGAACGUCGUGAGACAGUUCGGUCCCUAUCUGCCGUGGGCGCUGGAGAACUGAGGGGGGCUGCUCCUAGUACGAGAGGACCGGAGUGGACGCAUCACUGGUGUUCGGGUUGUCAUGCCAAUGGCACUGCCCGGUAGCUAAAUGCGGAAGAGAUAAGUGCUGAAAGCAUCUAAGCACGAAACUUGCCCCGAGAUGAGUUCUCCCUGAGACUUAGAGUCUCCUGAAGGAACGUUGAAGACGACGACGUUGAUAGGCCGGGUGUGUAAGCGCAGCGAUGCGUUGAGCUAACCGGUACUAAUGAACCGUGAGGCUUAACCUUAC
rnacentral:rRNA from 1 species